CCGGCCCCGGCGCCCAGCCCGCCCGGCGCGCCGCUGCCCCCCCCCCCCCGCACCCGCCGCGCUAGGCCUUCUUGCACUUGCCCUUCUUCUCGCGCUGCUGGAACUUGCGCAGCCGCCGCGCCCACGUGUCCCGCCACUGGAUCACCAGGCUGCUCUUGUCCGCCACGAUGCCGCUCUGGUCGGGCGAGUCCUCCGCGUUGCCCAGCAGUAGGUACUUCUUGAGGGGCUUGAUUUUGGGGCACUUGCAGGCGAUGUCCCGCGAGCGGAUCCACAGAUUCUGGUCACCGCGGCGGAUGCGGCUGGUGCCCUGCUUGUACACGGAGAUGAUGUUCACCGUAAACUUCCACCAGUCCCCUGCCUUGUCCGCCUUCAGGAUGUGGAUCUGGACGGCUGCAAGGAAGCACAGGCAGGAGGGUGGGCCACGGGUGCCGCCUGGACCCCGAGCUCCUGCGACCAGGAGGGCCAGGGAUGGGGCAGCCUGUUUGAUGGAGAAGGGAAAGAAGACCCGGAGCAGUGAAGUGACUGCAUGGGGUACCCGACUAGGAGUGGGUGUGUGGUGGCAAAGCUGAUACUGGGGCCAAGGCCGCUGUUCCAGGAAGCCGUAUGUCCUGUGUUUUAGGUGCCACCCGGCACUGUCUUUGGGGACAAGCCCCUUUAGGGUCCAGGAAGGUGCUGUAGGUUCUUACCACAUCCCCAGAACUCUGGGCAGAAUCCAGCUGCCGGGGUAGGUGCCCUCCAUGAGCAUAGCACUGGCCACUCGGCACAGGCUCCGGGGAACCUCCUCAGGUGGCACCCCCUGGGCAUUUCCAAAGGCCCCGUCACUUAACAUCAAGCCUCAUGACACCCCUAGACAUACAGCCUUGCCCUUGACCCAAUCUCAGAAAACCAGAAUGGGGUCUCAGUGCCCAGGUGCAGUGCACGCUCAACAGCCCUUCGGGGUGGCUGCCGCUCUCCUCCGGAGUCCAGGGCCCUGUGCUGCCCGCCUCCCAUCCCUGCCAGACUGCCUCGUCUCCCUGGCCUCCUGAUCCUCCCCCAGUCCUCAGGCCCUUCCCCUCCCUUUCAAUUCUCUGCUCCUCCUUCCCUGAGUAGAAGGGGUUCUCAAGCUGGAGCAGGCAUCAGAAACUUCUGGAGGGCUCGUCAAACACAUGGCUGGCCUCACCCCAAUUUCCUAUUCCAUAGAUGUGGACUGGGGCCCAGGACCGCACACCUCACACAUUCCCAGAUGCUGUGGGUCCAGGGAACACACUUUGAGAAUCAGUGCUCUAGUAAACGUUAACAGGUGUUCUUUCUGCAGGAUAUUAAGAGAUACUUCAUAAAAGGAGGACAUACUUUUUUAAGGGGGGGGAUUUUGCUCAAAUAUGUGAAAAUACUGGCUUAAACAAAGGAAGUCGCCUUAGUGCAGGACUUUUCUGAGCCUUUAAUCUACAAAGCGUGUGCAGACACGCGUGUGUUUGCUUCCCAAACAACUGACUGCAGGACCCUUUGGCUGGUGCAUCUCAAGGCACCAGAGCCCCAUGGAGCCUACCUGGGGAACUUCUGGUGGUGGUGGUGAUGGUGGGAGAGAGACACAACCAUUCCAGGGGUAAGUGCAGAGGUCUCUGCUGUACUAACCCCCGUCCGAGGGAAACUUGGACUCCUUCCCCCCCCGUCAGAACAUGGCGCCUUCCCCUUGCCACCACGUCCGGUAUACCCCUGGACAGGCUGAAGAAUCUGGACCUGAGCCCGCCUGAGAAAGGAGCUUGUCUCCCCAGAUUACAGGUGAAGGGACCGAAAUAAGGUGCGCUCCAGCCACGAGGACAUGUCCCCAGGGAAUGCCAUGAGCUGUUCCUGGGCAUCCUCAACUUUGCACUCCAGUCUGAGGGCUCCAAAGAAUGGCUGCCAUGGCAACCGUUUCCAUGUUUCUGUCACCAAGGGACUCAACACUCAGUGUGAACUCUGAGGUGGGGGUGGGGAGCCCUCCAGCCUGGAGAAGUGGCUGGGCUCUGUAUGUGUUUGACUGCGCAGACAGAGGUCACCGUGGCAACUGCGUGCCCCUCAGCUAAGCAAACGGGGAGCCGUCCCCAGCAUCCCCGAGAGCCCCGGUUUCCUCUCCUUGGGACUGAGCUGAAUACAGAAUGAGCCUCCCCCAGGAUGCAGCUGUUUGCCUGUGCGGGACCUCAGACCCCCGGCCCAGCCACAGUGUCCCCCCAGCCAGGGUGGGCUGGGGUGGCCAACAAGGAUGCUGCAGAAGGCACCUCUGGUGAGAACGUGGCUUUGAUCACAUGUUGGUGUUAAGAGCUGAACUGUGUAUCUCCCCCCCACACCCCGCCGGCAAAAUUAAUACAUUGAAGUCCUAACCCCCA